rnacentral:sRNA from 1 species
CAAGCAUCCUACACAUUAUACAGCCACUUUCAAGGUUCUAAACCAAACACUACCAACCAACCUUCAACAUGUCUCCCUGCUCCUGCAACUGCUGCUCCGGCAACUGCAACUCCUGCUCUUGCAGCUCCUGCACCGUGAGUGUUUCUGAGUC